rnacentral:rRNA from 1 species
UACGAAGGGGGCUAGCAUUGUUCGGAAUUACUGGGCGUAAAGCGCGCGCAGGCGGUUUUUCAAGUCAGUGGUGAAAGCCCGGAGCUCAACUCCGGAACUGCCAUUGAAACUGUAAAACUUGAGGAUGAGAGAGGUGAGUGGAAUUCCCAGUGUAGAGGUGAAAUUCGUAGAUAUUGGGAAGAACACCGGUGGCGAAGGCGGCUCACUGGCUCAUAUCUGACGCUCAGGCGCGACAGCGUGGGGAUCAACAGG